GUUUUCUCAUUUCAUACUCCAAAAGUCCAGUGAUCCCCAUCUUCCUACGACCUCGACCAGUGAUGGUGCUAGGGUUCGUGUGACCGCGACGGAGCAGCUAAGAUUUCUUAACCAAGUAGAUCAGCGACAACAGAGCCUCCUACAUUCAAUCUUUCGUUCUUCUUAGGGCUGUUUCACCUCAAUUGUGCAUAUCCAUUCCAACCUGUGUGAUUUCUUCUUCAGAGAGACCAGCAAUUCUUUUUACGGGAAACAUCGACCAGCGACGACGGUCGAGCGACCUUGAUGGACCAGUGACCAAAACUUCUUGCAGCUUGUUGGAACCUAUGAGCAUGCUCUUUCUCAGUUAUCCUCUCAAGCAUCAAAAACACAUAUGCAUCAUUUUCAAGAUAAAUGAUUUCUUCUCUUUCAUUUUGAUGUUAGGAACAAAGUAAUUUUGAUUUGGGGCUGCACUUUUUAGAUCUCAUAAUUUUAAUUUUGUUAUGGCUGAUCA